UAUUUACUCCUUGGGUUAUCU
rnacentral:piRNA from 1 species